rnacentral:Y_RNA from 1 species
GGCUGGUCCGAUGGUAGUGGGUUAUCAGAACUUAUUAACAUUAGUGUCACUAAAGUGGGUAUUCAACCCCCCACUGCUAAAUAUGACUGGCUUUAA